CAUUCCUCAAGCACCAUCACAUUUACUAGUAAGAACAGCCCUGUCAGACUUCAAGAAAUAUACAAUACUGAGUAUUUCUCUAACCUAAGACAUCCUGGUGGACUUCAGCUUAUCGCUAGAGUAUGCAUGUGUCAACACCAGAAUAUCUUGUCGGUUAGCCAUAUCUUGCCACUCAAAGACUGGUCUGGACCAGCCUCAGCAUCACCAGGCAGCUCCUUAGAGAUGCAGUCUCAUGCCCCACUCAGACCUACUGAAUCAGAAUCUGCAUUUUACAAGACCUCUGGUGAUUCACAAGCAAAUUCAAGUUCAAGAAGCACUGAUAAGUAAUUUCGUCAUUAGCAGCUGGAAGAAAUGUCAAGGACUGGGUCAACUUGAAUCUUGCUCAAGCCAUGUGCUCAGAACGAGUUUCCUGCACUAGAAAUAGGUUAGAGAUUGUAACCAGUGGUUGAGGGAUAAGAUUGACCAGAAAAAGGAAAAAGCCAACCAUAGCCUCUCCCAGAAGAAGGGCAGUACAGUUGGUGGAGAGUGAGAUGUUGUCUAUUAAUGAGUCUCAGAAUAUACUUAUCUCAAAAUAUAUCACCUCCGAAUAUUGAACAUUUGAAGCCGAAGGAGUCUGUGAAAACAGCAGUAGCGGUCUCAUUGACAAAGCCCCAGCUGAAAAAUCUAGAAGAGUGAGAGAAAAAGAUUUCUGCCUCCCUGAUACAUGUAUAAGAAGAGCCGAUGGUGCUUAGCUUUGGAGGACUGGGCAGCUGGGUGAAGUGAAGGAUAGAGAGAGAAUCCUGAGAUACUCCAGGUCUGGAACCCACACAUUCAACACUCUGGCAGCAGAGAUAUAUUCUCCACAACCAUCCCUAUUACAGGAUGCCAUCACUUCAGAUCAUAGACAUUCCAGAGCCAGCAUUAAUGCAAGUUAGGAGACAGCAGGCUGGCUCGCGGCUGAGUUGACGUGAACUAUGGGACUCUUAGUUUUCACAGCUAGAUAUCAUCAACACCAAACUUCCCAGACUCCAUCGGCAGACAUAAAUCCACCCCCACGUGGCUAACUGGAGCAAUCACCUUGAGUUGGGCAUGAAAGUCAUGGAAAUGAUUUUGUUAAUGACUCAGCACUUUCAAUCAAUUACAG